rnacentral:rRNA from 1 species
CCUACGGGUGGCAGCAGUGGGGAAUAUUGCACAAUGGGGGAAACCCUGAUGCAGCGACGCCGCGUGAGUGAAGAAGUAAUUCGUUAUGUAAAGCUCUAUCAGCAGGGAAGAAAAUGACGGUACCUGAGUAAGAAGCCCCGGCUAACUACGUGCCAGCAGCCGCGGUAAUACGUAGGGGGCAAGCGUUAUCCGGAUUUACUGGGUGGAAAGGGAGCGUAGACGGCAUUGCAAGUCUGGAGUGAAAGGCGGGGGCUCAACCCCCGGACUCCUCUGGAAACUGUACGGCUGGAGUGCAGGAGAGGUAAGUGGAAUUCCUAGUGUAGCGGUGACAUGCGUAGAUAUUAGGAGGAACACCAGUGGCGAAGGCGGCUUACUGGACUGUAACUGACGUUGAGGCUCGAAAGCGUGGGGAGCAAACAGGAUUAGAUACCCCUGUAGUC